rnacentral:rRNA from 1 species
CGCCCUUAGAGUUUGAUCAUGGCUCAGGACGAACGCUGGCGGCGUGCCUAAUACAUGCAAGUCGAACGCAGCUUGCUUUGGUAAGAUGAGUGGCGAACGGGUGAGUAACACGUGGGUAACCUGCCUAUCAGAGGGGGAUAACACUUGGAAACAGGUGCUAAUACCGCAUAGAUUUCUUUCGCAUGAAAAGAGAGGAAAGACGUACGUGUCACUGAUAGAUGGACCCGCGGUGCAUUAGCUAGUUGGUGAGGUAACGGCUCACCAAGGCCAUGAUGCAUAGCCGACCUGAGAGGGUGAUCGGCCACACUGGGACUGAGACACGGCCCAGACUCCUACGGGAGGCAGCAGUAGGGAAUCUUCGGCAAUGGACGAAAGUCUGACCGAGCAACGCCGCGUGAGUGAAGAAGGUUUUCGGAUCGUAAAACUCUGUUGUUAGAGAAGAAUAGGUAGGAGUGACUUCCUGCCAUGACGGUAUCUAACCAGAAAGCCACGGCUAACUACGUGCCAGCAGCCGCGGUAAUACGUAGGUGGCAAGCGUUGUCCGGAUUUAUUGGCGUAAGCGAGCGCAGGUUUCUUAAGUCUGAUGUGAAAGCCCCCGGCUUACCGGGGAGGGUCAUUGGAAACUGGGAGACUUGAGUGCAGA